UCAAUAAUUAUAUAUUCCAAUUAUUUUCAUAAUUCUAUUAUUCAAAAUUUAAAUAAUAAAUAGAAAUUCAUAUUCCACAGGAGCAGCUAGUAUUAUGUACUAAAUGUUUUGGAAUUUUUUUGAAAGAUCAAUAUAUAUAGUUGUAACUUCCUUCAAUUGUAUUUAAGAAGUUUAUAAAUUUGAUAGAAAAUGAGAAUAAAACCACUGUAGCUGUUUAACUGAAAUUUAAAUGUUGUAAGUACUUUGUAAAUUAAAUAAAAUAAAAAUACAUCACUUCAAAAUAUAUUAUAAAUUAUAUAAAUUCAUAUUAAAUUAAUUAAUUAACAUAAAAAUUAACAAUUUUCACCAUUCUCAGACUUGACCGAUUCAAAAUAUAACAUAAUUGUUUAAGAUAAUAAGAUAAUGUACUGUAAUCCAUAAGGGUGUGGGACUUCUCAAGCACUAAAAUUUUAUAAUAAAAAUUAAUAUAUAAAUUUUGUAUAAAUAUAACCAAAACAUUGUUAUGUUUCCACCAUAAACUUAAUCGCUAAUUAUUCUUAACCAUUCACAACAUUUUGAUAUGGUUUUAUCACUUUACUUGUAAAACACAUUUGCAUUAUAUAAUCUAUAUCUUGUAUACAUCAAAUUAUUUAACAUGAACAAGUUGAAAGCCAAAGUUUAGAUUAAUUAAUAUAUAAGCCAAGAAAAAUUGAUUUUUUAUUUGUUAUAAAAUAAUUUAUUUAAUAUAUGAAUGAUAAAACUAAUUUUUUUUCUAAACAAAUAAUAUAUCAUAGUUACACCAUUACUAAUUACAUAUUUUUUUAUUGUACAAUAACUGAAAACACAUAACUUGGUGUUUAUGCAUCUUACAGGAGACAAUAUAUUAUUGAUAUGAACAAGGUUAUUGAUGAGAAAGCUUUUUCAUUGAAUUUUAAGAUGAGGCUUCAAUAAUGCUUCAAUAAGGUGAUUGCAAUUCCCAAAUCCUAGGGUUUUCUCCGGCGAGGGAGAUGGAGUCGAGGGAGACUCAAGAUGAUCCUUCGGCUCAAAUUGUUCCGGCGAUGCAAAGAUCAUGGGUUGCGGUGGCGAAACAGAAGAAGACAUUGAAAAAUUACGAUCUGGAGAUCUCAAUCUCGGAAGGGAAGCAGUCGGUAAAUGUCCCAUCUGAGAUUGUUGAGAAGGCGAAUCCACUCUGGGAUGACUAUGUGAUAGCUCGAUUCCUGGAAUUAGCUCCACACCUUGAGAAAGUUUAUGUGAUUUUAUACAAGAUCUGUAAGUUUGGUGAGAAGUCGAUGAAGAUUGAUGUUUAUGAAUUGGAUGCGGUGACGAUGAGAAUCAGGAUUCCAAGUGAGGUGAUAAGAGAGAAGAUAGUAAAGCGGGGUAUGUGGAACAUCGCUGGAAUUCCUAUGGUGGUUUCUAAGUGGUCUCUAGUGGUUGAUAAAUCAGAAGGGAAGCUUACUCCACUAUGGGUUCACCCAAGCAAGGUCCCAAUUAGUAUGUACUCAUGGGAGGGAUUGAGUUUCAUUUCUAGUGUGGCUGGUAAACCAGACAAGCUGCACCCGGAGACGUUAGCAUGUUCGAACUUUGAGGUGGCUAAGGUGUGUGUCAAAGCAGACUUAUCGAAGCAGCUGCCAAAGAAUAUGAAUUUCAAAAUAGGGGAUGAAGAAGUAAUGGUCUGAAUUCACAUACCCAUGGUUACCUUCGAAAUGUAUAAACUGUGGGAAAUGGGGGCACUCGGAAAUAAUCUGUAAAAUGGGAAAGAUAGAGGAAGGUGAAAUACAAGAAGUGAUGGAGAUAUCAGAGAGAAAAAAGGAAAACGAAAAUGAUGUUGUAGGAAAGGAGGAAAACAAAGAAGAAAUGGAGGUUGUCAAAGUAUUAGAGGUUGGAAAAGAGUUGGAGGAAGUUAGAGAGUUGGAAGAAGGUAGAAAGUUGGAGGUUGAGAAGGAUAUACAACAUGAGAACGAGACGUAUUCUGUGGUGGAAUCAAGAGACGUAGAUAAGCUGGGGAAGAGUACUUCAAAUGAGGAAGUUGGGGGAGAGAAAGAUGAGAGUUGGACACAUGCUGCAGAAAAAACAAGUAAGAGCCCAUGGAAUUCACCGAAAGAAUUAAAAUUUGGUCAGGUAAAAAUAACUCCUUCGAGGUAUGCUGCUCUAAGUAGUUUGGAGGAAAGUAGAGAGGAAGUUAAAAUGCAGGAAACAGUUAAGGAGUAUGAAAGUAGAGGAGGUUCUGGAGGGGAGGAGGUGGUCGAUAUUGAGAAGCCAAAGGUAGCAGGUUCUGAAGGUGGGAGACAGAUACUACCUAGGAACUCAAAGACAUAUCACCGGGUCCUUUCAGAAUUGUAAAUCAAAGAAGUGAAAUUGGUGUUACGACAAGGGGGUUCUCGAAAGCAUCACUAAUGGCGGGUUUCUUCUGGAACAUAAGGGGCUUCAACAAAUCUAUUAAGCAAGAGGUGGUUCAUAACUGGAGUAGAAACAAUAAUAUGCAGUUUGGAUGUUUGAUUGAGACAAGGGUAAAAGAGAGAAAGGCGGGUAAGAUAAUCAAUGAAGUUUUUGCUGGAUGGGAUAGUAUAACAAACUAUGACUAUCACAAUUUGGGGAGAAUUUGGGUUGUCUGGAAGCAGAGUGAGAGGAUGAGCCAUGUUUACAAAAGCAGUCAGAUCAUCACUUGCUCAGUUUUGAUGGAAUGAGUAGAAGAGGAAUUUCUUUGUUCUUUUAUCUAUGCAGCAAAUGGUAUGGAGGAUAGGAAGGAGUUAUGGGAUGAUUUGAGAAGUCACUAUGAUGCACCGAUGUUCAGGGAUAAAAAUGGAUGAUAAUGGAGGAUUUCAAUGAGAUAUUAGAUAUUGAGGAGCAUUCUGAGUUCGAAACUUCUCCGAGAUUGCCAGUGGGUAUGCGAGACUUUCAAGAGGUUGCUAGUUACUGUGGUUUGAUUUACAUGGUGCAAUAAGAGGGAAGAUGGAUUAAUCUGUAAGAAAUUGGACAGAUUGUUGAUAAAUGAGAGUUAGCUUCAUUCUUCGAGAACUUACUGUGUAUUUGAACCUGGUGGUUGCUCAGAUCACUUGAGGUGUAGAAUACAGCUAUAUGUUGAGGAAACAAAGAAGAGGAAGCCAUUUAAGUUCACAAAUUGUAUAGCCAAGAUGCCUGAAUUCAUUCCUUCGAUGGAAGAGCAUUAGAAAGGUAAUGAAGCACCGUUUCACUCAACAGCUGCUAUGUUCAAGCUCACCAAACAACUGAAAGCUCUAAAACAGCCUUUAUGUUCACUUUGCAAGGAGAAGUUAGGAGAUCUGCCUAAGAGAACUAGAGAAGCUUUGAACGUCUUAUGUGAGAAACAAAAAGCCACCCUGGAGCAGCCAUUGGCCAAUGCUAUUCGUGAAGAAGCAACAGCUUAUGAGAGGUGGCAAUGGCUAGCAUAUUUGGAGGAAGAAUUUUAUAAACAAAGAUCGAAGCUUCAUUGGCUUGAAGUGGGUGAUGGUAAUAAUAGGGUCUUCCACAAUGCGGUAAAUAUUAGAGAAGUGAGGAAUGUUAUAAGAGAAGUCAAGAGAGUGGAUGGUACACUAGCAAAGACUGAUGAGGAAAUAAAAGCUGAAGCGGAGAAUUUCUUUUCACAAUUUAUGACAGCUGUUCCUGAGGAUUUUGAAGGGGUCACGGUUGAAAGGCUGCAAGAGUUAUCGGGGUUUCAGUGUAGUGAGAUCGAUUGUGAGAAGCUAGUGAAGGAGGUGACAAAAGAUGAGAUCAAAGCAAUUCUCUUUAAGAUGUCAGGACACUAGUCACCAGGGCCAGAUGGGUAUACUUCAGAAUUCUUUAAAGUGGCUUGGCAGAUUAUUGGGGAUGAUGUUACCAUUGCUAUCCAUUCUUUUUUUUUCUCAAGGGAUUCUUGCCUAAAGGACUCAACUCAACCAUAUUGGCUCUGGUUCCUUAAACAGAAGAAGCGAAGGUAAUGAAGGACUAGAGGCCAAUAUCAUGCUGCAAUGUGUUAUACAAGAUAAUUUCGAAGCUCAUUGCCAACAGGUUAAAAGGUGUCUUGCCCAAGUGUAUAUCGCUGAAUCAAUCUGCUUUCAUUAAGGAGAGGUUAUUGAUGGAGAAUGUGCUAUUGGCAACAAAAAUUGUGAAAGAUUAUCAUAGAGAAGACAUAUCUCCGCGGUUUGCUAUGAUGAUUGAUAUAUCAAAAGCGUUUGAUUCUGUACAAUGGUCCUUUCUACUCAGCACACUUAAGGCGCUUGGUAUUCCAGAGAAGUUUAUUAAAUGGAUUUCGCUAUGUAUUAUGACAAUUUCAUUAUCGGUUCAAGUCAAUGGAGAGUUGGCUGGGUACUUUCAAACCAAAAGAGGUCUGCGUCAAGGAUUCUCUUUAUCUCCCUACUUCUUUGUUAUCUGCAUGAAUGUGCUAUCAAAGAUGCUGGAUGAAGCAGCCUCAAGAAAUCUAAUUGGAUUCCACCCAAAAUGCAAAAACAUAGGUAUCACUCACCUAUGCUUUGCAGAUGACUUAAUGGUGUUUAUUGAACGCACUAGAAGAUCAGUUGAAGGGAUAUUGAAAGUAUUUGAGGAGUUUAAUAGAAUGUCUUGUCUGAAGAUUAGCUUGGAAAAGUCUACCUUGUUUAUGGCUGGUUUUUUAGAUCAAAAGAAAGAAGAGAUCAUGAAUCAUUUUCCCUUUGCUUCUGGUAAUCUACCUGUCAGAUACUUAGGGCUUCCGUUGCUAACGAAGAACAUGACAGUUACUGAUUUUUUACCUCUGGUAGAGAAGAUCGGGAAGAGGAUUGGAUCUUGGACAGGGCGUUUCUUAUCUUAUGCGGACAGGCUUCAAUUGAUAAACUCGGUUAUUAUGAGUUUGGUGAACUUCUGGAUGGCAGCUUUCCAUUUGUCUAGUGGUUGUAUACAAUAAAUAGAAAGAAUCUGCUCAGCUUUUCUAUGGUCUGGCGUGGAGAUGAAUGGUAGGAAGACAAAAAUCAGUUGGAAGGAAGUGUGUAGAACGAAGCAGGAGGGUGGUUUGGGUAUCAGGUCCUUGAAGGAGAUGAAUAUGGUUAGUGUUCUGAAACUUAUCUGGAGAAUUCUAUCUGCUAAAUCUCUUUGGGUUAGCUGGAUAAAACUAUCUCUCAUUCGUAAAAGCUCGAUAUGGUGUAUAAAAGAUAACUCACAAAUGGGUUCUUGGAUGCGAAGAAAGAUCUUAAAGUAUAGAGGAAAGGCAAAGGAGUUAUAUAAGGUGGAUAUCAGAAAUGGGGAAAAGGCUUCAUUUUGGUAUGAUAAGUAGUCUUCUCUUGGAUGCUUAAAGGAGUUGUUGGGUAAUGGAGGGUGUAUAGAAUUGGGGUUAACUGAGAAUGCGAAGGUUGUGGAUUGUCGUUACCAUAGAAGAAAGAAUCAUCGGUUCAUGAUUCUUAACAUAGUAGAGUUGGAGAUUGAGAAGUUUAAAGAGAACUGGAAUCAAGAUUAGGAAGAUGUCUAUCUAUGGAGGAAUGUGAAUAAUAAUUUUAACAGUAAGUUCUCAACAGCGGAAACUUGGCAGGUUAUUCGAGAAAAGCACCAAAGCUAUGAUUGGCACAAAGCUGUUUGGUUUAAGCAUGCAACGCCGAAGUAUUCUUUCAUGGUCUGGGUUGCGAUGAGAGAUAGGCUUUCAACAGGAAGUAUAAUGGUCCAAUGGACUGUGAACAUUGAUACUUCCUGUAUUUUAUGCCAAGAUCUGACGGAAACAGUUGAUCAUAUCUUCUUUGAUUGCCCAUUCUCGAAGCAAAUUUGGGAGAAUCUUGAUAGAGGUGUGCUAAAGGAUCGGUUCACAUCAAACUGGUCUGCUAUCAAGAGGAUCACUAUGGAUGAAGGUCAAGACAAGCUCCUCCUCUUUACCAUCAGAUAUCUAUUUCAAGUUACAAUUCAAAGCAUUUGGAGGGAGAAGAAUAGAAGAAGACAUGGUGAAACAGCAUCUCCGCAUGCUCUAUUAACAAAGUUGAUAGACAAGACCAUGAGAAACAAAUUUUCAAUAAUUCAGAAGAAGGGGGAUAAGAGACUUGAAGGUGGAUUACAAUUCUGGUUCUCAACCAGAUAAUACUACAUGGGAGGGAGGAUUCUUUAAAGUUUCACCUUUCUUUCUUUAACAAAUUUUUGAAUAGGAAAUCAUAAGAAAGGACACACAUAGUUGUAACAAGAUUUUUUCUUUUUGAAUUAAAUUUAACAUUCAAUUCCAAAAAAAAAAAUGCUUACGAUAUUACUGACAUUGUGAUCAUGUUUUAUCUUGGAAAAUGGUGCUUUAUAGCACUAUUAUUAUUAUUAAGUAAUUCUCACGUAAAAUAUAACAUUUUGAAAUCCAAUAAAUUAUAUAAUGGCUACCUAGGCGUUAGUUCAUAUUAGAUACAUAAUUUUUAUUAUAUUGUAUUUUCUCUUAUGAUAGUCCUUACAAUUUUUUGAUUAUUAUAUAUAUUUCUUAAGGAAAUCUAUGUUUGGCAAAUAAUAAAAAAAAUUGUUUUUCUUUAUUUAUUUCUCUAUAAAAUAUUUUUUGGUAAAUUAUAACUGUUAUGUAAAUUAGUACCUACAAUAAUAUUUCACUUCAGUCAACAUAUGCCCGACUUUCAUAAUAUAUAUAGAUAAAUCCAUUAAGAAUCGAAGACUAUAUUUUUUCAUCUAAAAUAAAUUAGUAAAAAAAAUAUAGUAGCUACUCUUGCUAAUUUAAGUUGUGCCGCAUAUUUAAUCUUUCAAAGUUACCCAUAUAUAUAUAUAUGGAUGUACUUUUAGGUGGUGAUAUAUCCUAUCAAAAAAUAUAAUGAAAAUUUUGGAACUUUUUAACAUAAAUAUAUUAGAAUAUAAGGAGAAUAAAAGUUGCCAAUAAUUAUAUUUUCAGAUUCUUCGGAUUAUCAUGUGAAACAUUUUCAGGGGCAUAUAUACAUGUUCACAUAUAUGGAUAUUGAUAAGAAAUUAGUAAAUGCUAAAAUUGGUAGCUAAUCAAUUGCUAGUUGAUUUUAUCAACAUAAUUAAUCGUUCAACGUAACAUAUAUAUAUAUAUAUAUAUAUAUAUAUAUAUAUAUAUAUAUAUAUAGAUAUAGUUGUCGUUAAUAGGUAUUUUUAGGUGCUAACUUAUUGUAUCAAAAACGAAAAUGAAUGUUUUGAAUAAAAUUUAACAUAAAUAUUUUAGAAUAGAAAGAAAAUAAAACUAACCAAUCAAUUGAAAACAGUUUUUCUUGAUAAUUCUAAAAUAGUCUUCAAAGACCUAUAUAUAUGUAUAUGUUCAUACGUAAGGUUUUCAAAAAUACACACACAAAGCAUUUUUUUACUGUCAAAGUUUACAAUGUCGGCAUCAAAAUUUGCUAUAUUUUGUAUUGUUCUCAUUUGUCUUGCUAGUCUUCAUGAAUGUGCCAACCUGGAAAAAAAGCCCAAAGGAACAUGCUCUAAAACACCAAAGCAGUUCCACUACACACUGCCGAAGCACCAAAGCGGAUUGUGAGAAGAUUUGUAUUUGGUAGUAUCUGGGGCCGUUGAAUUUUUAUGAAGAGAACUUCUAUAAUUAUAUAUUCCAAAUAUUUUUGUACUUCUAUUAUUCAAAAUUUAGAUAAUAAAUAGAAAUUUCUGUUCCACAG